AGAGUUUGAUCAUGGCUCAGGACAAACGCUGGCGGCGUACCUAAGACAUGCAAGUCGAACGGAGACUCCCGCUUCGGCGGGAGGAUGAGUGGCGAACGGGUGAGUAACACGUAGGAACCUGACGCGCAGUGGGGGAUAACGCUGGGAAACCGGCGCUAAUACCGCAUGAGGUUCUGCUGGGAGACCAGGAGAAAGAAAGCAGUGAUGCGCUGUGUGAGGGGCCUGGGUCCGAUUAGCUAGUUGGUGAGGUAAGGGCUCACCAAGGCGACGAUCGGUAGCUGGUCUGAGAGGAUGGUCAGCCACACUGGGACUGAGACACGGCCCAGACUCCUACGGGAGGCAGCAGUUAGGAAAUUUUCGCAAUGGGGGAAACCCUGACGGAGUAACGCCGCGUGGAGGAUGACGGCUUUCGGGUUGUAAACUCCUUUUCUGUGGGAAGAGCAGAGGACGGUACCACAGGAAUAAGCCUCGGCUAACUACGUGCCAGCAGCCGCGGUAAUACGUAGGAGGCGAGCGUUGUCCGGAAUUACUGGGCGUAAAGCGCGCGUAGGCGGCACUGUACGACCGGUGUGAAAGCCCCCGGCUCAACUGGGGAGGGUCACUGGUAACGGCAGCGCUGUGAGUGCAGGAGAGGGAAGUGGAACUCCGGGAGUAGCGGUGAAAUGCGUAGAGACCCGGAGGAACACCAGUGGCGAAGGCGGCUUCCUGGCCUGUAACUGACGCUGUGGCGCGAAAGCUAGGGGAGCAAACGGGAUUAGAUACCCCGGUAGUCCUAGCCGUAAACGAUGGACACUAGGUGUGCGUGGUAUCGACCCCACGCGUGCCGGAGCUAACGCAGUAAGUGUCCCGCCUGGGGGAGUACGGCCGCAAGGCUAAAACUCAAAGGAAUUGACGG
rnacentral:rRNA from 1 species